rnacentral:lncRNA from 10 species
CUGGUCAUCUACCUUUUUUAGUUUGGUGACUUCCCCAUACCCUUGCCAAUCAACUUCGCUUUUGUUUUUUGCUCCUCCGAACACAUACACACACCUGGUUUUAUGUUAAGUUAACCAGAAUCGCUUCCUUUUGUUUUCAAUGCCCCAUCUGAACAAAUUCAUUUGGGUUCACGUGAAUAUGAAACUAACAUCUGAGGGUCAUGGAGAAUUCAUUAAAUGCCUUUAAAUAGUAAUGAGAUGGGAUUAGAGUUCUUGAAAUUUCAAUCUGGUGUGUUUGGGGAAAAUGGACCUGAGAACAAGGAAGUGAAGAAGCUCUGUGACCCAGGAACACAGAAUGCCAGUGGACCCAUGACGCAUGGGAGUUCAGAAACACUCAAAAAGAGUACAAAAGGUGUGUUAAGUUUGUGUCAGAAUAAGUAUGGACACUGACAGCCCCAAAAGGCCACGUGCUCUGCUUGAACCAGAACUUCUUCCACAGAAAGAAGAAAAUGACCAAGGAACUCUAUCACAUACUUUUUUAUCUUACAUUGUUGUGUUAGCCAAUUGUAUUAAAAAUGAUGGCAUAAAAGGAAAAGAAUAGAUAAGGCAACCCCUUGCUCUCUUUCUUUUAAGUCC